rnacentral:rRNA from 1 species
GACAGAGGGUGCAAACGUUGUUCGGAAUUACUGGGCGUAAAGCGUGCGCAGGCGGCUUCUCAAGUCAGGGGUGAAAGCCCAGAGCUCAACUCUGGAACUGCCUUUGAGACUGAGAGGCUUGAGUACGGGAGAGGUGAGUGGAAUUCCCAGUGUAGAGGUGAAAUUCGUAGAUAUUGGGAAGAACACCGGUGGCGAAGGCGGCUCACUGGCCCGAAACUGACGCUCAUGCACGACAGCGUGGGGAUCAAACAGG